UACAGAGGUCUCAAGCGUUGUUCGGAUUCAUUGGGCGUAAAGGGUGCGUAGGCGGCGCGGUAAGUCGGGUGUGAAAUCUCGGAGCUUAACUCCGAAACUGCAUUCGAUACUGCCGUGCUUGAGGACUGGAGAGGAGACUGGAAUUUACGGUGUAGCGGUGAAAUGCGUAGAUAUCGUAAGGAAACCAGUGGCGAAGGCGGGUCUCUGGACAGUUCCUGACGCUGAGGCACGAAGGUCAGGGGAGCAAACGGG
rnacentral:rRNA from 1 species